GAGCCGUGGCACUGUCAAGUCAUCAGACGCGGUGAUUGCGAGGCCUGUGGGAAAGUACAAAAGCCUGGGCUGGAUUGCCCCUCUCAUCGAGCCCGCCUGUGUGGCACCUGUUUCUUAUCACCCCACUAAGUUCCCGCCUCACAGGGUAGUCUGCCUAGCUAUUAAUCCUAUAUAUAGCCAGUGCCUCCACCCCCAAGAGAGAGAGAGACUGAAGCACAAAAGGAGCCGCGGGGAGCGGACCGGUAGAGGCUUCGGGGCAGACUGAAGCACGGAAGGAGCCGCGGAGAGCGGACCGGUAGAGGCUUCGGGGCAGACUGUAUAAGGAGAGAAUAAAGAAAAGCCUGACCACCGCCAGACCUUGUCGUGUGUCUUUCCUGCCGGCCGGGAGCGGACAUCGACAUUUGGAGGCCCGCACGGGGAUUGAUCAACCCCGAGACGCGGCGGUGGACUGCAUUCUCCUACACAGUGCUGCAGCUGCAGGACAGGAAUCGGGACGAGAGCCAAUGUGGGUCCCAGAGAGGUUGACGCGACAAGUCCCUCGACUGAAGAUCAGGCCUGUUCCACCAGAGGCCAACCGCAGACCCAACAACAAGAUGAGCCCUAAAAGAACUGCAGGACAAUCCCUUUUUGGGGGCCUGGAACGGCUUGCUCCCCUAUGUGCUACCCUUGUAUACGCAUGGCUCGCUCGCAUGGCCUACGACCGCGUUUAAAAGUGACAGGCUUCCCACAUUCUCCUCCCUAGACAACAACAUGUAGCAGGGUGGGUGAGUCAAUGACGGGUAAGAGCGUGCCUCCCCAGCACGACUCAACCUAAGCCAGGCCCUACCCCGUUCCGCUCGAAAGCCGCUGGAUUGUUAGAUAAAUUUCUCUCCGAGGGGAUUCGUGGAGAGAAAUGAGUGCAUGCCUAUGUGCAACCAGGUUCCGUCCGGUUCAUUCCUGGCCCUAGAAAAAAGGACGAGGGCCUCAGGGCCUUGGUGGACCCUGGGACGGCCGACCAGGGUCUACGCUAAGGGCCUACGGUGGGCCUCAGUUCGGGGCAUAGGCCUCUGCACUCUAUCCAGGACGGGCUGCGAUGCGCGUAGCCAUCAUUUAAAAUAAAAUAGGGGGAGAUGUUGGGAGCCGUGGCACUGUCAAGUCAUCAGACGCGGUGAUUGCGAGGCCUGUGGGAAAGUACAAAAGCCUGGGCUGGAUUGCCCCUCUCAUCGAGCCCGCCUGUGUGGCACCUGUUUCUUAUCACCCCACUAAGUUCCCGCCUCACAGGGUAGUCUGCCUAGCUAUUAAUCCUAUAUAUAGCCAGUGCCUCCACCCCCGAGAGAGAGAGAGACUGAAGCACAAAAGGAGCCGCGGGGAGCGGACCGGUAGAGGCUUCGGGGCAGACUGAAGCACGGAAGGAGCCGCGGAGAGCGGACCGGUAGAGGCUUCGGGGCAGACUGUAUAAGGAGAGAAUAAAGAAAAGCCUGACCACCGCCA